AAAACAGUUUUAGCGCCAGGUCCCAUGAGGAUGACGAGGUAUGGAGUUAUCGAAAUAUUCGGCGGAUGCUCCAUAGGUAUCACAGCCUGAGUUCUUUUAAAAAACUAAAAGCAAUUUUAUAACAAAUAAAGUCCAGUGAAUCUC
rnacentral:ncRNA from 2 species